rnacentral:lncRNA from 1 species
GAGGAGUUAAGAGUUCUACAACUGGAUCCACAGGCAGCAGAAAGAUACUAGGCCUGGCUUGAGCUUUGGAAUCCCCAAAGCCCAACCGCAGUGACACAUUUCCUUCAACAAGGCCACAUCUCUCAAUCUCUCUCAAGUAGUGCUACUUACUAAUUAUCAAGCAAUUAAAUAUAUGAGCCCUUGGAGGCCAUUCCUGUUCAAGCCACCACAUUCCACUUCUUGGCCCCCAUAGGCUUGUAGCCAUAUCAUAAUGCAAAAAUGCAUUCAGUCCAACUUCAAAAGUCCCCAUGAUCUACAGUAGUCUCAACACUAUUUGAAAGUCCAAAGUUUCUUCUGAGAUUCAUGUCAGUCUCUUAACUGUAAUCCCCUAGAGGGAAAAAAGAAGAUCAUAUGCUUCAAAGAUACAAUGGCACAGGGUAUAUAUACGUUACCAUUCCAAAAGGGAGGAAAGGGAACAUAGAAAAUACUGGAACAAAGCAAGACUGAAAACCAACCAGGCAAACUCCAAACGAAGAAAGUGAGCCUACUGUGAAAAGCAGCAUUAAUCCUAUAGGAGGAUCACCUCAGUAAGUUCAAGAUAGAGUUUCUCUGUAUAGACCAGACUGGCCUCAAAAAUAUAGAUUCGCCUGCCUCUAAGUGAUGGGAUUAAAGAUGACAACCAAACCAUCCCUUGAAAGAAGAGACAUAAGGGACAGAAAUGGAGGGAAGAGAGAUGUGGAUGAAAGAUGAGACUCAGCCUAAUUCAUAUUCAGUCCUUACCAGCUUUGAGUACCUCGAAGAGAAGAAGGCCAUUUUUGUAUGCUGUCAUAAAACACCAAAAUGAAGACAACUUAUAGAAGAAAGAGUUUAUUUGGACUUACAGAUCCAGAGGGACAAGAGUCCACCAUGGCAAGUAAGCAUGCUGGUAAGCCUCAGGCAUGGUGCCGGGAGCAGGAAGGAGAGAGCACAUCUGUUGCCACAAGUAGGAAGCCAACAGAGCAAACUGAAGUGGGGCACAGUUAUGAACUCUCCAGCAAUAUACUUCCUUCAGCAAAACUGUACAUCCUAAAC